UUAAGUUCUUUUUUUUUUUUUUUUUUUUUUUUUUUUGCCUUGUACUAGCCCAAGCAUGUCAAACUUAUGGUCCGUGGGCCACAUGCAGCCCACAACAAAUACUUUUGCAGACCAAAUAUUUUUGCAAACAAUUGAUGUACCAGUUUGUACAUCAAUUUGUCCUUUAACAGCUGGCCCUCGCUUCUUCAUUAAUCUAGUGCUAGACUAGUAUUUCUUACCCUGGCUGUGUAUCAGAAGCAGGUGAGAAGCCUAUCAUGUGGGUUCCUAAAAGACUUGAAAGUCAGAACAUUUGGUAAAUGCUCCCCCAACUUCAAUUCUAAGAAUCAUCUGUGGCCCUACCAUGAGAGACUAAUAAAACCUAGCUCAAGCGUUCAGGUGAAGGAGUUUGCCUUUCUAAUUAUUGUAUGUCACAGGAAAGGCAUAGGGUUAAGUGUUCUGCUUGGCUGCCUUAGCCAUAAGGCCAGCUUGCUUUGGUAUGUGCUCCAGCCAAAGCUGCACUCCAAUGUUUUCAGUCUUGAGCUCACCGGACUUCUCUCUUCUGAGUGGCUUCAGGGUGCAGGCUCUAGAUCCAGAUGCUUAGGUCCAGAUCCUGGGCCAGCGAGCUGCAGGUUGACCUUCAGUGAGCUCAACCUUUCUGUACCUCAGUUUCUCAAAAUGGAAUUACACUAUAACCCACCUUGUAGGACUCUGAAAAGAUUAAAUGGGGUUCUAUAUAUAAAACACUCCAAUAAUCUCUGCCACAGUGUUCAUAAUUGUCAGCCCUUUUUACAGUUUGUCACUUGAUUACUCCUGUUCCUGAUUUUUAGAAUCUUUACCUUCUUGAGAUGGGCUCUUUUGAGCUACUUUCAUUCCUGUCUGCAUUCCUUGUCAUUUUCUUUUCUCUGUUCCCUAAAUAUCAGUUGUCAAGGCCCCUUGUAACUCUUUACCUUUCCUGGGUGGUCAUUUCUACUACCUUGUCUUCCUGCACUGCCUACACGUCGACUCACAGAUCAUGUUUCUAAGCAAACCUUCCCUGUGAGUUAAUUUCCAAUUCUUCGUCUAACGUAUAGACUUGGAUAUUUCACAAGCAUUUUAAACUUAGCAAUCCAAAACAAUUCCUUACUUCUUCCGAAGCCUAAUUCUCUUAUAUUCCCUUGGUUAAUUAUAUAAUAAUCUAGAAAUUGAAAAUUAUUUUCAAUUAUUUUAUUUCCCAUGGAUUGCCAAGUUGUGAACAGGUCAGAUAUUUUAAUAGUUGCUCAUCCCUUUUCUUCAUUGAUCUCUUAAUUUGGACAAAGUGGAUUUAGCCCCCAGUGGCAUCUAUAUUUAAUCUUGUCCCUACAAUCUGUCCUACACAUUGUUGGCAGAAUAAUCUUUCAAAGAGUUUUUGCAUGUUUGUCUUCCAUUGCUAGACUGGGCUUCUUUAGAGGAAGAUAAUAUCUCUGUGUUUUGCCUCCCCCGUAACUUUGAAGAUGUCUGGCAACUUCAUAGUCUUGCAGGUUCUCCAGCCCUACAGUCACCUUAGACCUCCAUUGUCCAACACGUUAGCCAUCAGCCACAUGUAGCUAUUUAAUUUAAGCCAAAUAAAAUUACUUAGGCAUACUAGCCAUAUUUCAAAUGCUUAAUAGCGCAUGUGACUGUUGCUAUCACAUUGGACAGUGUAUUGUAGAACAUUUCCAUUAUUGCAGAAAGUUCUAUUGGACAGAGCUGUCCCAGACCCUUACUAAUAUGGACAUUUUCCUCUAUUAGUACCCCUGGAACAUUAACACUGUCCAAAGUGCUAGUCUGAGCAAAUUGGCCUUUAACAUUUGUCCUUUUAUCUUGAUCCUGCCAUUACCACUUCACUACAUCAGAUAGAACAUCUGACCAGAAACUUAGAGCUCCAAGUUAAUCCCUAAAACACUAAAUAUUCAGCAAUUUAUGUGUAAACUGUCUCUGGGACCUCAAGAGUAAAUGCACUAGUUCUAAUUGAAAUCUUGUUGCUAUGUUCUAUCAAAUGAGAUCUUUUAAUGGUGGCUAUUUAAUGCUUUAUUUUUAAAAUUAGCAGUGGAGGGAUGCUUUAUAAAAUGAAUUCAUACCCAUCUAUACAUAUUUUUUUGCAUGCAUACCUCAUGCCACAUAAUCUGCCAGGUAGUACAUAUAUAAAACAAAGCUUAUGUAAUACGACAAAAGUAACAAUCUUUCCAAAUGCAUCUACCCAGAACUACACACUUACCAUGUUUGUAUUGAUGCUUCAGGACAUCUUUCUAUACUUGUGCACAUACACACACAGGCAACUAUAUGUAAGCGGUUUUCAUAAACACAGAAAGUAUAAUAAAUGUGGGCAUAUUUUAAGAAAGUGUGUAUGGAUUUACCUGUCUUCCCUUUAGUAUUUGAUUCUAAGGAAAAUGUACUAUAAUUUAUAUAAUGUAGAGCGCUACUUAUAUCUAUGCGUAUAUUAUUUUAUACCUUUUUUUUCUGCUUAAUUUAUAGAUGUAUAAUUUCUGAGCUACUGAGUGUACAAAUUAAAAAUGUUGAACUGAAUUGUCAGACUGUCCUUCACCAAAGCUAUUCCAGUUUACAUUGCUACCACUAGUAUGUGAGAGUGUGUUUCUUCACAAGUUCAACAACAUGGAAUGUUAUCAGUCAUUAAGAUUUUUUCAGUAACAGCCAAAAGCUUAUUGUGUUAUUUUUAUUAUUAGUGAGAGUGAAAUACUUCAAUGUUAAUGGCUGUUUGUAUUUAUUGUAUAGCUACUUUAUGCCCUUUGCAUUUUUUAUUGUGGGUGUUCAUGUCUAUAAAUUUGUAGUAAUUCAUGUUAGAAAUAAUCUUUUAUUACAUGCAUUGCACUUUUUCUGUCAUUUACUUUAUUAUAAUAUUGUUUCGUGACUUUUUAUUUUUAAUCAGAUCUGUUGAUAGCCUUUAUCAUGUCCGCCUUUGAUAUCAUGUUCGAAAGAGUUUUUCCUGCCCAAUAUUAUAAAAAUACCUGUGUUUUCUUUUAUGUUUAUGACUGUUUUUUAUAUCAGUCUUUAAUGCAGUUAAAAAUUAUAUUAAGGUGUGAGGUAAGCAUUCACAAAUUUCUGCCAAGACUAUGUCUAAUACAUUUAUAAAAUAAUUCUUUUUCCUUACUGAUAUAAAAUGUAAUCUUCAUUAGAUAAUAAAUUUUUAUAUUUGAUAAUUAUAUAAACACUCUUCAGUUCCAUUUGUUUUUAUCUAUUCACUACCAUUGCUAAUUUAAUUACUAUUAUUUGAACAUUGAUUUAAAAUAUUUUAUAUGUAACAUACAUGUUUUCCUAUCACAUAUACCCUUAAUAUUCAUUUUUGUCAAAAGUUUCUGUACUCUUACAAAAAAAAUUUAGAAUUAUUCAAUGUCCUUUCAAAUAAAAAUCCUUCUGGCGUUUUUAUUGCAAUUACAUUGACUUGCACAGAUUGGUAUGCAGAGAAUUAUGGCAUCCUACACUAUUGAAUCCUCCUCUCUAAAAAGAAUGUUGCCUGACUUUUUAUUAUAUUUUUAUGUCCCUCAGAGUUUUAAAAUUAUUUUCAUUUGUUUUUAAUUCUAGGUAUCUUGAUGUAUAUUAAUGUUUUUGUAUUGUUUAUGGAUGUGCUUUUUUCAACUUUGAAAAAAAUGUUUCUAUUUGAAUAUUACUGAUACAGAAACAGUAGUUAUCAAACUUUUGAUCUCAGAAUCACUUCACACUCAAAAACUAUUGAGAACCUAAAUGAACUUUUGUUUGGGCCAGUUAUAUCUAUUGCUAUUCACCAUAUUAGAAAUUGAAACUGUAAAAAUGAUAAUUUUAAAAUAACAUUUAUAUUAAAAAAAAAUUAAUACAUUUUAAGUGAAAAAUAGCAAAAUUUUCUGCCUGAUCUUUAUUUUGGAAGUUGGUAUUUUUAAACCAGAGACCUAAGACUUGAAAGGAAAUGAAGUAGUAGUUAUAAUUGUCCCCACCCCUUUCAGUAGUUAUAAAAAUUUUGCCAUCCUCACACUUUCACAGAACACAUAACUUAAAAUUUGGACUAGCAAUCAUUAAAAAAAAAUUGAUUACUGAAGUAAUAGAGGAGAAUCAUUUUUCAAAGAAGUAAUUUAAUUUCUUGGAAAAAUAAAAACCAAAUUUAACAGUUUGGAAAAUCAGUAUGUCUUCAGUAGUCCUUGAAAUUGA